rnacentral:rRNA from 1 species
GACGAACGCUGGCGGCGUGCCUAAUACAUGCAAGUAGAACGCAGUUGCGAACGGGUGAGUAACGCGUAGGUAACGGCCGCAUAGCGGGGGAUAACUAUUGGAAACGAUAGCUAAUACCGCAUACUGUGAGAUGGACCUGCGUUGUGUUAGCUAGUUGGGUAGGUAAAGGCUCACCAAGGCGACGAUACAUAGCCGACCUGAGAGGGUGAUCGGGCAAACUGGGACCGGGAAACGGGCCAGACUUCCACGGGAGGGCAGAGGAGGGAAUCAUUGGCCAUGGGCGGAAGUCUGACCGAGCCAAUCCGCGUGAGUGAAGAAGGUUUUCGGAUCGGUAAGCUCUGUUGUGAGAGAAGCGUUAACUACCGAGAAAGGGACGGCUAAUUACGUGCCAGCAGCCGCGGUAAUAC